UGGGGAAUUUUCCGCAAUGGGCGAAAGCCUGACGGAGCAAGACCGCGUGAGGGGGGAAGGCCUUUGGGUUGUAAACCUCUUUUCUCAGGGAAGAAGAAAGUGACGGUACCUGAGGAAUCAGCCUCGGCUAACUCCGUGCCAGCAGCCGCGGUAAUACGGAGGAGGCAAGCGUUAUCCGGAAUUAUUGGGCGUAAAGCGUCCGCAGGUGGUGAUUCAAGUCCGCUGUCAAAGACCGGGGCUCAACCCUGGGCCGGCAGUAGAAACUGAAGCACUAGAGUUCGGUAGGGGUAGAGGGAAUUCCCAGUGUAGCGGUGAAAUGCGUAGAGAUUGGGAAGAACAUCGGUGGCGAAAGCGCUCUACUGGGCCAUAACUGACACUCAGGGACGAAAGCUAAGGUAGCGAAUGGGAUUAGAUACCCGCGUAGUCC
rnacentral:rRNA from 1 species